GUCCCUGCGUGGGGAGUUUUGGAUGCUGCAGUCCAAUCUUCUGCAGAAGAUGAUUUAUCACAUUUCCCUGGAGCACGAGAUCCUCCUGCACCCACGAUACUUCGGUCCAAACUUGCUCAACACAGUGAAGCAGAAGCUGUUUACCGAGGUAGAGGGGGCCUGCACUGGGAAACAUGGCUUUGUAAUUGCUGUCACCACCAUUGACAAUAUUGGUGCUGGUGUGAUCCAGCCAGGCCGAGGUUUUGUUCUUUAUCCAGUGAAAUACAAAGCUAUUGUUUUCCGGCCCUUUAAAGGCGAAGUGGUGGAUGCUGUGGUCACUCAGGUCAACAAGGUUGGACUCUUCACAGAAAUUGGGCCCAUGUCUUGCUUCAUCUCUCGACACUCCAUCCCUUCAGAGAUGGAGUUUGAUCCAAAUUCAAAUCCCCCUUAUUAUAAGACCAUGGAUGAGGACAUUGUGAUUCAGCAGGACGAUGAGAUACACUUGAAGAUCGUGGGGACGCGUGUAGACAAGAAUGACAUUUUUGCUAUUGGCUCUCUGAUGGACUAUUACUUGGGACUGGUGAGCUGAGGGAAGGGGCCUCCAGCUUGGUUUGAUCCUGAUUUAGAAAAUGUGACUUUCCGACUUGAGUUCAGCAC